AGCCCGAGCAGUAGCCGCAGGAGUGACCGCGCUGUGGAGCCACGGGGCCGCCCCGCCGCCGUGGACUGUACAUAUCGUUCCACGGCAUCCGCGAAGUUGAACUUGUCUGGCGCAUAGCCGAGCUGCGCACGGGCCUUAGCGAUCUGGAAGGUAAACCCAGGAAGUAGGCACCUGGAUCCAUGGCUGGCUGUACCCCAGCUUCUCAAACUGCAAGGAAACAUGGUCUGAGAUGAAAACAGUCCUCCAGGUGCUACUGUGGAAAGGACACAUGUUCCCUUUACCCUAGGCCAACAGAAUUACCUCCUGGCCCCUUGCCCACCCACCCUGCUCCAGUCCCAAGCCAGUCUUGAAAUGAUAUCCACACCUUGACUUGGAAAAGUCAAGUAGGAAUUGAAUGCAUGGCAGCAGAAGAGGGGUGUUAACUUGGGAUCAUUCAAAUCAUUUUUU